rnacentral:rRNA from 1 species
UCGAGAAUCUUCGUCAAUGGGGGAAACCCUGAACGAGCGACGCCGCGUGUGGGAUGAAGGCCUUUGGGUUGUAAACCACUGUCAGGGGGGAUGAAACCGCAAGGUUGACAGAGCCCCAGAGGAAGCACGGGCUAAGUUCGUGCCAGCAGCCGCGGUAAUACGAACUGUGCGAACGUUAUUCGGAAUCACUGGGCUUACAGGGUGCGUAGGUGGCCGGACAAGUCAGGUGUGAAAUCCCUCAGCUCAACUGAGGAACUGCGCUUGAAACUGUUUGGCUAGAGUGAGCUAGGGGUGCUUGGAACGGCCAGUGGAGCGGUGAAAUGUGUUGAUAUUGGCAGGAACACCGGAGCCGAAAGGGAAGCACUGGGGCUUAACUGACACUGAGGCACGAAAGCCAGGGGAGCAAACG